GCGAUAGCCUCAGUAACGGCGAGUGAAGCGGCUACAGCUCAAAUUUGAAAUCUGGCCUCCUUUGGGGGUCCGAGUUGUAAUUUGCAGAGGAUGCUUUGGCAUUGGCGGCGGUCUAAGUUCCUUGGAACAGGACAUCGCAGAGGGUGAGAAUCCCGUACGUGGGCGCCUGCCUUUGCCGUGUAAAGCUCCUUCGACGAGUCGAGUUGUUUGGGAAUGCAGCUCUAAAUGGGAGGUAAAUUUCUCCUAAAGCUAAAUACCGGCCAGAGACCGAUAGCGCACAAGUAGAGUGAUCGAAAGAUGAAAAGUACUUUGGAAAGAGAGUCAAAUAGCACGUGAAAUUGUUGAAAGGGAAGCGCUUGCAGCCAGACUUGCCCGCAGUUGCUCACCUAGGCUUUCGCCUGGGGCACUCUUCUGCGGGCAGGCCAGCAUCAGUUUGGGCGGUCGGAUAAAGGCCUCUGUCAUGUACCACCCCUCGGGGUGGCCUUAUAGGGGAGGCGUAAUGCGACCAGCCCGGACUGAGGUCCGCGCAUCUGCUAGGAUGCUGGCGUAAUGGCUGUAAGCGGCCCGUCUUGAAACACGGACCAAGGAGUCUAACAUCUAUGCGAGUGUUUGGGUGUCAAGCCCGGGCGCGCAAUGAAAGUGAACGGAGGUGGGAACCCUUCGGGGUGCACCAUCGACCGAUCCUGAAGUCUUCGGAUGGAUUUGAGUAAGAGCAUAGCUGUUGGGACCCGAAAGAUGGUGAACUAUGCUUGAAUAGGGUGAAGCCAGAGGAAACUCUGGUGGAGGCUCGCAGCGGUUCUGACGUGCAAAUCGAUCGUCAAAUUUGGGCAUAGGGGCGAAAGACUAAUCGAACCAUCUAGU
rnacentral:rRNA from 1 species